GUGGGGAAUCUUAGACAAUGGGGGAAACCCUGAUCUAGCCAUGCCGCGUGAGCGAUGAAGGCCUUAGGGUUGUAAAGCUCUUUCAGCUGGGAAGAUAAUGACGGUACCAGCAGAAGAAGCCCCGGCUAACUCCGUGCCAGCAGCCGCGGUAAUACGGAGGGGGCUAGCGUUGUUCGGAAUUACUGGGCGUAAAGCGCACGUAGGCGGAUCAGAAAGUCAGAGGUGAAAUCCCAGGGCUCAACCUUGGAACUGCCUUUGAAACUCCUGGUCUUGAGUUCGAGAGAGGUGAGUGGAAUUCCGAGUGUAGAGGUGAAAUUCGUAGAUAUUCGGAGGAACACCAGUGGCGAAGGCGGCUCACUGGCUCGAUACUGACGCUGAGGUGCGAAAGCGUGGGGAGCAAACAGGAUUAGAAACCCCAGUAGUCC
rnacentral:rRNA from 1 species